UCGAGCCUACGGGAGGCAGCAGUGGGGGAUAUUGCACAAUGGGGGAAACCCUGAUGCAGCGACGCCGCGUGAGCGAUGAAGUAUUUCGGUAUGUAAAGCUCUACCAGCAGGGAAGAAAAUGACGGUACCUGACUAAGAGGCCCCGGCUAACUACGUGCCAGCAGCCGCGGUAAUACGUAGGGGGCAAGCGUUAUCCGGAUUUACUGGGUGUAAAGGGAGCGUAGGCGGUAAUGCAAGUCAGAAGUGAAAGCCCGGGGCUCAACUCCGGGACUGCUUUUGAAACUGUGUUGCUAGAUUGCAGGAGG
rnacentral:rRNA from 1 species